rnacentral:rRNA from 1 species
GACAGAGGGUGCAAACGUUGUUCGGAAUUACUGGGCGUAAAGCGCGUGUAGGCGGCAUGACAAGUCGGAUGUGAAAGCCCCUGGCUCAACUGGGGAAGUGCACCCGAAACUGAGUGGCUUGAGUACUAAAGAGGGUCGCGGAAUUCCCGGUGUAGAGGUGAAAUUCGUAGAUAUCGGGAGGAACACCGGUGGCGAAGGCGGCGACCUGGGUAGAUACUGACGCUGAGGCGCGAAAGCGUGGGGAGCAAACAGG